rnacentral:lncRNA from 10 species
CCAGCUUCUCCUGCAGUCACCACACCAUCAAGAAGCUUGGAGGCAGCAAGAGAGGUUCAGGUCAUCCUUGCAGUUUCCAUGCAUCUGCUUCUCUAACUGAAUGCUGGCUGAUCCAGAGGAGGAGGUUCACCCCAGGAUUUUGUGGUAUCAGGAAAAGGUACCUCAAGGAAUGGCUCCAUAGCAUUCCAGUACUAACAUUCUGUGCUUCGAAUCAAUCAAUCACUGUAAAAUCUGCCCAGAAGACUCCAUCAUCUCUUUCCUCCAAGGCAAGAGAAGGAAAUAGGACAAAAGCAGAUGCUACACUGAACAGAUGACUUCUUCCCAUCAGCACAGCCAUUGCUCACACCCUGACUGCCAUCCUGCCAUCUUGUUCAGGGACCUACAUGGGCUUCAUUGAAAACUCAAAAACAAUUCAAAUUCUUAUUUGUCCAAAAAAGCCCAGAGCCUUCUCCAUCUAGUCCCAAGCUGAGAACAAUCUACGGCCCUUUCAUCCUUUUAUCCUUUUAUUUCACACUUCUUGGACACCUGCCAUAUUUCCUUCCUUCAUUUUGGUAUGAAGUCAGAGGUCAAAUUCAAGACCUGUUAGAAAAGCAUUCCAGAUCUCACAAAUGAUGAUCAGUGCAUUUAGCCCACAUCAGGGAAUCCAUCGCUUUUACUCCAUUAAUUCUCAUUUCUGCCCACUGGGCACAGAACCUUACAGGAAGCACUAGAAGCUUGGAUUGUGCCACAAGGACGUUACCAUCUAGUUGGAGAGACCAAAGCACAGGAAAUAAGGACCUCCUUACAAGUGAAACAUGAAUCCAAAAUGCCAGCUGGGAAGAGCAAAAAGCAAUUAGGAAGUAAGAGAAUUGUAGUUCUGUUUGUUUCUACUCCCACAGCCAUUUAAAGUCAUUGGACUUAUGGAAUUGGAAGUGGCCUCAGAGACCAUCUAGCUACCUCUUUUAUUUUAAGUAAGAGUUCUUUAAUAAUUGGUUCUUAUUUGUAUGUUUUAUGCAAAUUUAUAAUGUUUUAAAAUGAUUCAAGUUUAGAAUAAGACUUCUAAUUAACACCUGGAAGUCAAGUUGAAUGAUUAUUUAAUACACUUAACCAUAAUGUAAUUAACCAUAAACAUACAAAUGAAUGUUUAAGUUUCAGAAUGGAAAUACAACCAGAAACACAAUAAAUAUAUAUGGAAACUAUUGUUUUCUGCUAACUAUAGAGAAUAUUAGGCUACAAAA